CCGUGAUGGCCAUGAUGGCGGGGAAGCUGAACAAUGUUGUCAUCGAAUAUAGAACUAUUAUAUUGAAUCGAAAAAUGAUCUAAGCUGUGGCCUUAAAGGAGUAGUCUCCUUUGAUAAAGAUCAACAGUGACAAAUAAACAAUGCUGUCUUGUCAUCAACGGUGAAAUUUGAGACUUUUAUACCCAUAUAUCUACCAAUCACCUCUGUCCACUUUGUUUUGUACAUCUGAGACAGGUGUACACGAGAUGCCAGUAUUCACUCCUUUCCACGGACACCUGUUAGGUAACUCAUCACAAUCUAUCGUAUGUAGAGUCUGAAUAUAUCUUCUACUUUGUUAGUUUCAUCGCUUUUCUUAAUCUCUAAAAAUCAAAAGAACUGUCUGUAGAUAUGUACACAAACAACUACACGUAAGACUAACGGCGCGUGGAUCCGUAGAACAAUUCAGCGACUCUAUACAUGCGGGAUUUUCACAAUUAUUAAAUUGCGAUAAAAAUAUCAUUUACCGGGUACGUUAAUGUACCAAAAAAAAGAAUAAUUACAUUGUAAAUAGUUGAAUGGAAUUUUGCAAGUGGAUGUAAGCACAAAAACAGCUCUUUUGAGAUUUAUUUUCAAUCUAAUAUGUGUGAUGUAAAAAAAACUAUAUUAUUUUGCUAUAAGUUUGUAUAAUUGGUCA